UAUGCACGUUUCGAGCACAGCACAUGGACUCGUGCAUCUAGACAAACGCUUUAAUGUUUUCAGGUUGGGGAAAGUUUUCAAGGCUACAACUUGGCCAAUAUGAAGCAAAAAGGACCAAUGAUAUGGUUAAAGGUCCCACUAGCUUUACUUGAAAGCGAUAUUUAUGAAUAGUUGGCAGUUGAUCAUGUGGCUAUCAUGCAAUGCAUAUCAUAGGAAAUCCGUGUGUAUCUUAAUAAGAACAGUUCAUUGGGACCAUUCAAUUAACUUGAUGGCCCAUAUGGUGUGCAUAUCACACUAAAGAAUUUGAGCGACUCAUUAGUGACAAAAUCUCAACCACUUCAUAAACAAAGAAAAGAAG
rnacentral:lncRNA from 1 species